rnacentral:rRNA from 1 species
GACGAACGCUGGCGGCGUGCUUAACACAUGCAAGUCGAGCGGAAAGGCCCUUUCGGGGGUACUCGAGCGGCGAACGGGUGAGUAACACGUGAGUAAUCUGCCCUUGGCUUUGGGAUAACUACCGGAAACGGUGGCUAAUACCGGAUAUGACCAUGCUCGGCAUCGGGUGUGGUGGAAAGUUUUUUCGGCCAGGGAUGUGCUCGCGGCCUAUCAGCUUGUUGGUGGGGUAAUGGCCUACCAAGGCUUCGACGGGUAGCCGGCCUGAGAGGGUGACCGGCCACACUGGGACUGAGACACGGCCCAGACUCCUACGGGAGGCAGCAGUGGGGAAUAUUGGACAAUGGGCGGAAGCCUGAUCCAGCAACGCCGCGUGAGGGAUGACGGCCUCGGUGUAACUCUUCUAGUACCGACGAAGCGCCGAUGAUGGUGGUGACGGUAGGUACGAGAAGAAGACACCGGCCGAACCUACGUAGCCAGCAGCCGCGGUAA